AAGUCCCUGCCCUGCUCUGCCGAGGAAGCCUUCCUGGGCCUGUCACUGUUUACAGACUCUCAGAAAGGCAGGUGUUGGGAGGAAGCUGCCGCUUGCGGUCGGUUCUCCCCAGAUACAGGAGCGCCCGGCCCCCCCUAGGCCGGCUGCCAUUGGCUAACAGGAGGCCAAAACAGACUCCUCUCCCGCCUGCAGCCACCCAGCCAGCAAACAAAGAGCGCACAGGAAACACCUGGAGGAGAGGGCAGCUGGCAAGGGGACCUCCGCAGGAAAGAAGAAAGGGUUUGCAGGAGGAAUUAGGCUGCUCUGCAAAGAAGUGGUGCAGAGAAAAAGCCAGAACUCUCCAGAACUCACCAGGCUUGCCCUUCCCAGCUUCCCCGUUUCUCUCUCUUCCUGGAAGGGAGAACGUGAUUCCGCAUGAUUCCACAGGUGGGCAGGAAGGAGCCCCCUGCUAUAGGUCUUCUGAGUGUAACUGAAGAGAAAUACCAUGAGACACCAAGAAAGGAUUUGCAUCUGAAGAAAACGCUUAGUGAGUUGAAGAUGUUGGCUUCUCUACACCACACGGCUUCAUCUGCUACAUUUUUAUUAAAGUAACCAAAAAAAGAAAAAAAAAGAAAAAGAAAAAAGAAGCUGGUACAUUUGUCCAUAAAGCUGUACAUCCUUCCAUAUAAAAACACUAUUAUACAAUUAGUAACCUUUGUCUUUUCUGUCAGAAUAGCUUACCAACCUGCUACUAUUAUUUCUUUUUACUUAAUAGGAGAGACAGGCCUGCUCAACAGUCCAGCUCUGGGUGUUUUGCUGUUUUUUAAAGUGAACAUUAAAAAAAAAAAAAUAAGAAAGAAAGAGAGAGAGAGAGAGAGAGAGAGAAGAGAGAAAAGAUUAAGCAGGAGACCAUGAGGCUGCUUCUUUUUUAAAAAGGCAGGGAUCUGUUUGCAGACAGGAUGCAACAAUGCCACGUCCAGUGAUUCACAGCUUUGUCUCAACCCACAGGCCAGAAAAUGAGCUUUUGGGUCUGUGGGUCUGAAGUUAGCUUUAAAGCAAUAAAGGCUGGAAGCAGGGUCUGGGAAGGCAGCUUGGAGUCUAGAGUUGAAAAGGAGGCAGGACUGGCAGGACUGGGUAGGGACAGUGUUUGGUAAAUAGCACCUUUGAAUCAGAAGUGGGUGGUUAAGAAAUUCAGGGAAGGGGACUGGCUGUGGAGUGGGGGACCCUCGGGCAGGGAAGAAAGUUUCCUCACUAAGGGGCGACAGCCUGGUGGGCUGGACAGGAGGGUAGCCAGGUAGACUGGACGCUCUAGCUGCGUCCUUCUAAAGUGAUUUUGAGUUUGGGAAACUCAGGGCCUCCGCAGGACCCCCUCACUAAGGUCACUGAAAAACCGAAGGAAGGCGAUUUCUUCCCAGUAUAGAUUUCCACUGGCUCCGACCCAGCACGGUAAAUAUUGCACAAGUCUACAGACAAAUCUGGGUUGUACUGAGAGACAGCAACUUCCCCACAGGUGCUCUGAGCACCAGGGAGAAAAUAAUGCCCAGGAUUUUGGCUUUUAGUGUCAGCCCUACAAGAAUACCAAGUAGUCCUGCAGAACUCGGGGAGUUCUCCCAUUCAGCCAAGGAAUACCUGCGAGGCCGACCAGCCAGCCAGAGUCCCGAGGAUGGAGGGAUAGUUCCCGAAGCCCUCCAGGGCACCAGGAGGUUCUGAGAGCUGGGUCUCCUUCAGACUCUCCUGGGACCCAGGAGGCCAUAUUGCACAAUGAGUCGAGAGCUCUUGUUCUGGAAAACUGGGUAGCUCCAUGACCCAACCAGAAGGGGAGAAGAACGGGAGAGUCAGGGAGGAGUGUUGUGCUUUUAAAAAGAAGGCAGUAGUAAAGAACCUAGAGUUCCCUGUAGCUUUUGAGCCAACUCUUGAAGGGAUAGUGGCAGCAGCAGCAGCAUCAGGACGUUCCUGUGAUUCCAGAAAGAAGGGCUUUGGCCAAAAAACCCCAAAAAACAAACAAACAAAAACAAAACA